GUUUAUUCGCCCUGUCGUACAGUCCCGAAAAAACCUGCACAUCACUCUUCUAAGUACGGCGACUAAGAUACGUUUCACAGGCAACAGAGCUACUGGCGUAGAAUACGUUAAACACCCUUUUCCCGGAACGCGUUUAGCAGAAGCAAGACUCGAGGUGAUCAUCUGUGCAGGCGCAAUUGGCACUCCUCAACUUCUCAUGCUGUCUGGUGUCGGACGGAAAGCUGAGCUACAACGGCUUCAGAUUCCACUGCUCGCAGACCUGCCAGUGGGCGAAAACCUUCAGGACCAUCCUAUUAUCGGAGGAGUAUCAGCAACGAUGCGCGGAAACCAUGGCAUCAACACGAGAAAUCUAUCUAUGGUUACGGACUACAUAAUCAACAGAUCUGGUACCGUCUACUUCUGACUAUA